GACGAACGCUGGCGGCGUGCUUAACACAUGCAAGUCGAACGGAAAGGCCCUGCUUUUGUGGGGUGCUCGAGUGGCGAACGGGUGAGUAACACGUGAGUAACCUGCCCUUGACUUUGGGAUAACUUCAGGAAACUGGGGCUAAUACCGGAUAGGAGCUCCUGCUGCAUGGUGGGGGUUGGAAAGUUUCGGCGGUUGGGGAUGGACUCGCGGCUUAUCAGCUUGUUGGUGGGGUAGUGGCUUACCAAGGCUUUGACGGGUAGCCGGCCUGAGAGGGUGACCGGCCACAUUGGGGCUGAGAUACGGCCCAGACUCAUACGGGAGGCAGCAGUGGGGAAUAUUGCACAAUGGGCGGAAGCCUGAUGCAGCAACGCCGCGUGCGGGAUGACGGCCUUCGGGUUGUAAACCGCUUUCGCCUGUGACGAAGCGUGAGUGACGGUAAUGGGUAAAGAAGCACCGGCUAACUACGUG
rnacentral:rRNA from 1 species